UGCAGAUAUUUCUGAUGGCGUUUUAAACCGUGAUCUGUGCUAAAUAUGAUUCCUAUGUGGAGUGAUCCCGUUCUGAGUAGGGCCCAAACCUGGAAGGUGAUUAUGUUUACCCAAGGAGGUGUUCUGAGGUUGAAGGAAGGUGUUGACUUGAGCUCUGGAAACAGCUUUUCCAAUCAGCCAGAGAGAGCAAAUCCCAGAGUUUCUUCAGGGAUUUGGCUGGCUGCAUUCAUUGCUCUCUUGGUUGGGCUGUUAUCGCCUGCUGGCUCGGGCUGGCUGAUGGGAGCAGGGGCUCAGCUCCCCGAGUGCUUCCUUCGGCUGUUUGUGGUUAUGUCUGUGCUGAGAUCAUGCAGCCUGUCAGGGUAAAAAACUGGGCUCUGUGGUUCAAACCCAUCCUACAGAUUUGAUCUGUGGGUUUUGGCUUGGUUGUUUUUGUUUUUUUUUUCUCUCUCUUUCUUUUCCAGUUGUGGUCAAAUAAGAGUUUUCCAGAACUGACUCACACGGGGCCAAAGAACAGGAAUGCAGCGAGCACGGCGGCGCCUGCCAAACCAACAGACUCACCAUGGCGAGGGAGAAAACACCCCCAGGUCUCUGCCACCCAGGCCAGCACCUGAGGAGAAGAGACCGUGUGAUUCCAGGAUUACAUUGCAGGCUAAAUCCUAGCCUGCACUUGGCCUCAGACCUGAACUUUAAGCCCCAGGCAAAACAUAAUCUGAAUCUGAGCACUGGUUAUUGGUCUGUCUCAUCUCCUGCUCCUCAUAUGUGCAGUCAUUCAACAGAAGCUGAAAUGUGUUUUCUCUGCCAAGAGCCGUUGGUUUCCAAACAACUACAUCAGCGUGUUCCCACUACUGAGCUUACAAAGCUUGCCAAGUGUGGAGAACUUCACAGAAAUCAAGAAGAAAAAGCUUCCUGGCUGGCUGGAUUUUCCAUUGCUUUCUCAGCUGUACCACAGUGGCUCCUCUAAUUUAUUCUGCGACCAGAGGGGACAACUGGGCACAGCAUGGGAUGGAGAAGAGUGGCUGGCACAUGGCACCACAGCUGCUCUGGAAUCUAAGGAAAAUUGAUUUUUGGUGGAAGGACUGUGUUCUCCCUGCUCUCUGGGUGAAGGAGGAAUGUGUUUGCUGAGGACCAUGGCAUUGCAUGGGCAUAAUGGUGAAAGGAGGAGAAGCAGGCUGCAAAAACCUUUUCUCCCAAGGUCUCUUGGGUUUAUAUUCUUAGUCAGAGUACAUCACACAACAGGAAAUUAUGCUUCCUUUCUCCCUCACUUUCCUGGGUUUGAUUUCAA
rnacentral:lncRNA from 1 species